rnacentral:rRNA from 1 species
CCUACGGGUGGCUGCAGUGGGGAAUAUUGCACAAUGGGCGCAAGCCUGAUGCAGCCAUGCCGCGUGUGUGAAGAAGGCCUUCGGGUUGUAAAGCACUUUCAGCGGGGAGGAAGGCGGUGAGGUUAAUAACCUCAUCGAUUGACGUUACCCGCAGAAGAAGCACCGGCUAACUCCGUGCCAGCAGCCGCGGUAAUACGGAGGGUGCAAGCGUUAAUCGGAAUUACUGGGCGUAAAGCGCACGCAGGCGGUCUGUCAAGUCGGAUGUGAAAUCCCCGGGCUCAACCUAGGAACUGCAUUCGAAACUGGCAGGCUAAAGUCUUGUAGAGGGGGGUAGAAUUCCAGGUGUAGCGGUGAAAUGCGUAGAGAUCUGGAGGAAUACCGGUGGCGAAGGCGGCCCCCUGGACAAAGACUGACGCUCAGGUGCGAAAGCGUGGGGAGCAAACAGGAUUAGAUACCCGGGUAGUC